rnacentral:rRNA from 1 species
UAAGGAAUAUUGGACAAUGGAGGCAACUCUGAUCCAGCCAUGCCGCGUGAAGGAAUAAGGCCCUAUGGGUUGUAAACUUCUUUUAGACGGGACAAAACCCCUUUACGUGUAAAGGGUUGAUGGUACUGUCAGAAUAAGCAUCGGCUAACUUCGUGCCUGCAGCCGCGGUAAUACGAAGGAUGCAAGCGUUAUCCGGAAUUAUUGGGUUUAAAGGGUGCGUAGGCGGACUAAUAAGUCAGUGGUGAAAGCCUGCAGCUUAACUGCAGAAUUGCCAUUGAUACUGUUAGUCUUGAGUACAGUUGAGGUAGGCGGAAUGUGUCAUGUAGCGGUGAAAUGCUUAGAUAUGACACAGAACACCGAUUGCGAAGGCAGCUUGCUAAGCUGUAACUGACGCUGAGGCACGAAAGCGUGGGGAGCAAACA